CAGGUUCAUUUUUUUCAGGUCAAAGCUUUUGGUCAACAUUACUAGAUAAGAAGCUAUUUGAUAUAGGAGGAAAGACAUCAAACAAGGUCCAAAAUAACAAUGAAUUUGGAUAAGGGACAUGAGAAACAAUAGAAGAAGAAAAAACAACAGAGACAAUGCGUGUGUGUUCAGCCCCCAUCCUCCACAAUGAUAGAAUACUCCGCAUGUAUUACAGCACCCAGGCACAUCACUGCUCCACCCGCAGCUUGACCACCAUUCCACUAAAACAGGUGCACGUAGGACCCCUGUAUUCAGACACUGAUCACCUAUCCAGGAUGUUAUUUUCGGAUAACAUUUUACAUAUAUUUUUUGAUGUGAGGAAUGAAAGUCUCCGUACUGGCCUGCUGAAUAUUCAUUGCAGAACUUUCUGCCACUGUCCCACGCACAUUCUACAGAAAUAACCCCAUGAGAUGCAUGGCACAGAAUAUAUUAUAAGUGUGGUGUCCCGUGGAUGUGGACUGACUCAGGCAGCCUGGCGACACAGAGCGUUGGAUGUAUAAAAGAAGGUAGACGGCACUCACCGACAAUCUGAAAACUUUAUUUCUUCAUGCUGGAGUCACGUGCAGGUCAGGGGACGUGUCCGGAACGUUUCGUGCGGGUGACGCACUUCCUCAGCCAACACAGA